UAUACUGAACAGAGAUACAUACAAUGGUUCUUGGAAAAAAAGUGUAAUAAAGGGAAAAAUUCAGAUGGAAGCAACCACUUUACUGCCAAGUGAAUUCAAAUUACCAGAUAAACUAUACAAUGAUCUUAUUCCAGUAAAUAAAGAUAAGUUUAAGGAUUUAAUGGUGCUGAAGCAAUUCUGUGGCCCAGUUGCUGUCAAGUUUUUUACCGAUCUACCGCAUGAAUAGGGGACAUUCCUCGUUUUUUUCACAUUUGUAAUACCUUCGAAUUAGUUUUAUUUUAUUAUCAGAUACACUGACGAAAAAUAUUUGUAUUUACAUGUUGAGACAUACAAUAAACAUAUAGUAAGAUUUAUUUAAA